rnacentral:lncRNA from 10 species
UUUCAGCAAUGGCUUCUUUAAAGAUACCAGAACCAAGACUUCCUAGCUGGACUAAGCAAUUGAUUAAACUCGCUACCUGCCGCCUUCUGCUCUUGCCACCCUCCAUACCCAAAGAAGAAAGAAAGGAAACAAACCUUGUGGACUAUCCACAGGAUAACACAAGAAGAGAGUACCACAUCUCAAGACCACAAGAUGGCUUCCAGAGGCAAUGGGGAAUCAAGCUUCAUUACCAUAUUUUACAGGAAAGAUGUUCCAUAAUGUCAUCUCUAGACUAAGCAAAUUCAACGUAAAUAAAAGCAUAAAUUGGUCUCUAACAACAGCUCGAGGGCCUUCUGGCAAGGACUAAGUGACCACCCUUCAAGACUUCAGUCUGUCAAUCAAAUCUUAGGAAAACUUGUCCUUAAGAAAGAGGAGAACUUAAAAAGGAAAUAAAAGAAAACUUGAAAAGAAAAAAGAAGAAAGGGGAAAAGUGGAGCUUGAAGGACAUUAUUGACUCAGUAUACAGAUCAGUAAAAAGAAAUGAAAUAGAAAAAUAUAAAAUAAAUAAAAUAAUUUGAAGAGCCAAAAAUGAAAUAAAGUUCUUGGGCUGAUUUUAACCCACUAUGCUGAAUAUUUUAUGAUUUAUAUAUACUGUGAUUUUUAUUAUCAGGUUGCCUACUACAGGUAGCAUUACUGACCAAGAACUCUUGCUGCUACACUUUGAAUUUCAUCUUUGUGUUUUGCACUGAGAACAGUUAUUCUAGACAGACCAUUCCUUAGAAACAUGAGCCUCUUUUUGGACUGAAUUUCACUUAAGAACUGUCCACUGGUGUUGCCAAACCUUUCAUAUACUGGAAGGCCAUCUAAGAUGCUUCAUCCAACAUUUUCUUUCUUUUCCCUUCACUCAGAGUUAGGCUGCAUUGCAGUCUGACAGCUUUCCCCAACUUUCCUGGCUACCUACUUAUAUGCUUUUACUUAUACAUUUUCCCUUAUGUAAUCCUUAUAUGUUUAUCCUGUCUUGAUAUUUUGUAUUAGUCCAUUCUCACACUGCUAUAAAGCCCACAACUGGGUGGUUUAUACAGGAAAGAGGUUUAAUUAACUCACAGUUCCAUGUGGCUUGGGAAGCCUCGGGAAACUUACAAUCAUGAUGGAAGGUAAAGGGGAAGGAAGAACCUUCACACGGUGGCAGGAGAGAGAAGUAACAACAGGGGAAAUGCCAGACACUUAUAAAACCAUCAAAUCUCGUGAGAAUUCACUCACUAUCACAAGAACAGCAUAGGGGAAACCAUCCCCAUAAUCCAGCCUCCCUCCAGACCUCUCCCUCAACAUCUGGGAAUUACAAUUCAAGAUGAGAUUUGGGUGGGGACACAAAGCCUACCUCUAUCAUAUUUGUUUCUCAAAGACUAACACAAAUUUGUCUUUCACUUAAUUACUAUAUUAUCUAUGUAUUAUUUUAAAAUUUGCCAUUUCAAAUCGGGAAUAGGAUAUGUUAGCAUAAAUAACAUUGUUUUGUGACUGGUCUGUUUUCUGAGUAGAAAGUCAGAUACCUUGUCAGUCACAGGUUAUUUUCAAAUAUUUUUUUUCAGCACCUACAACAGUGAGAAUACUUCGUUUGAGAGCCUGGACUUUAAAGAUAGUAUAGCCCAUCUCCAGAAAGUUAACCACCUAUACCCCAAAACACUUCUCUUAACAAUAUGAAGAGUUUCAUAUCAAUAUCCCUAUGCUUUUAUCAACAAAAGGAAAAAAUAUGUGGGGAAAAAUUUGUUCUAAAGAGAAAACACUAUAAAAAGAUUUUUUUAUUUCUAGGAAAAUUCAAUAUCUAGAAAUAACUAAAAAGUCAAGAAAUAAUAUCUAUGAUCUCCAAUGUAAAUAACUCACUUCUUGGCCUCUCAGUCUAUAUUGUGAGUCAAGAAAUAUAAAUAUGAAUAAUCAUAAUUAUUUAAAAAGUUAUAUUGGCUGUCUGCUAUAUUUAAAGCACUGAAUAAAAGCAGCCAUUUAAAAAAUGGCCCAGAAUCCUACUCUAAAGAGCUCUCAGUCCAAUAGGGGAAACACAAACAUAUAUUAUUUUAUUAUGUUACAUUUUAUAUAAGUUUGUCGUUUAUCAAAGUGUUGUGGGAAGACAGAGGCAUUAAUCAUUAAUUCAGACAUGAAGAGUUAAAGAUAGUUUGACAAAUAAGUUUAUAUUUCAGCUAAGCCUUAAAGGAAAAGAAGAGGUUUACUAGGUGGUAAGUAACAUUAAAAUUCUAAAGCAAAUCAAAAAGUUUAAUGAUAAAAAAGACAGCCUAUAAAAAUCAACAACUGGAUUAUAAAUUCACUUUAUCAUAAGAGACUUGGGCAAACUUUUAUACAUGUUCUAUAUAAAUUAUAUUAAAAACAAGAAAGAGAAUUACUCAUAAUAUAUAAAGUUAAUAUAAAUAAAUGAGAGGAGCAAUUAUAAAUUAUAAAAAUAAUAUAUUGACAUAAUUUAAAGAAAAAUGAAGUAUGGUAGAAUUCUAGGCAGGGCUAGAAAUUGUCCAAAAAAAUAGUGAAUUGAAGACUACACUAAGAAAUUAACUUAGAACACAUAACAGAAAGUCAAAAAGUUGGUAAAUUUAUGUGUAUAUAUAAUUCAUGUCUUAUAUGUAACAGCAGUUAUAAGACAGAAGAAAGGAAUAGAGAAAAUGUUUUAAAAGAAAGCAAAAUUUAAAGAGAAUUUUCUCUAAAAAACUGAAGACUUUUUAAAUUGAAGAAAGGAAUAAUAGUAUUCUUACAUGAAAUGUGUAUUCUGAGUUUAGUUCAAAUAACAUAGCACUCACAUACACCCCCCCAAUCCUGAAAACAAUCAGAAAAGGAAAUUUUUAAAAUAAGAAUGAAAAACAAAUAAAACAAAACAAAAUAAGCCAAACACUGUUCUGAAGAUUUGGACAGCUAUCAAGGAAGUCAGAGUUCAGAGGCUAAGAUACCAGAGAGAAGGGAAACUCAUUGAGAUGAGCCUACAAUUCUAGGCAGCAUUUAAAAAGGCAAUUAAGGAUUCCUAAAUAGUGUGCACUGAGAGACAAAGAAGCUGAGCAGUAAUGUGACAACCAGCUGCACAGCUCCAGUCUCUUCAAGAGAAAGGGGAAGAAAAUUAGAAUUUAGAAUCCACUAAGAAGGAAGGGCUCUCUCAAUCAACUCAGAAUUUCUGUUUAGAAUUCUGAAAAAUUACUCUCUAUGACUAAAGUAAAUAAGAAAUAAGCAGGCAAUAAAGAAUGAAAGCAAACCUUGAAACAGCACAAUUCAUGGUUAAAUUGAGGUGAUGUCGUUUUAUUCGGAAUGCUCGAUAGAAGCUAAGGUAACUACCCAUUUGAAGGAAGAUAAGAACUUACAGAAUUUCUGGAAUGUAUCAAACACAAUGCUCAGCAUCAUUCAAAAAUUGCCAGUAAUACCAGAAGACAGCAACAGGAGAGAAAAAAAUCAAACGAUAGAAUAAAACUCUCAGUGAUUUAGAUAUUGAGAGAUAGGCCUUUAACAUAUGAAUAUGUUCAAGAUUUAAAAAGAACUGAUUAACAUCUUAAAGAUAAAAAGAUGAAAAAAUUAACUCUGUACAAAAUCAAAUGGAAAUACUAGAAGUAAAAAUAUGUAACUAAUAUUAAAAACUUAAUAAAUGAAGAAAAGAUUUGUGAGCUAAAAUAAAUAUCAGUAGAAAAUAUCCAAACUGAAAUAAACAUGAACAAAAAUAAAAAAUGUAAAAAAGAGAAUAAGGAAAAAUUAGGGACUGUUGAAAUGUUCUAAAAUACUAUAAUUUAGUUCCAAGAUGAUGAAAUAAAAGGAAUGAAGAAGUAAUAUUUAAAGAAAUAAUAGACAAGAAUUUUCCAAAACUAAUAAAAUUUUUUUCGUAUAUUUAUGAAGCUCUAGAAAACUCAGUCAAGAUAAAUGGAAACAAAACUAUACCAAGGAUCUGAAAACCAAAGACAAAGAGAAAAAUCUUAAAAGUAGUCAAAGAGUUUCAAAAAGAGUAAUGAUAAGAUCAAAAGAUAUAAUGAAAGCAUAUGGAUAAUUAAUCUGACCAAGCCAUCUUUCUUUCUUUAACGUGCCAUCUUCCAGUAUAGGGAGAGAAACUAUUAGCACUUUCUUUCCU